rnacentral:rRNA from 1 species
CAGCCGCCGCGGUAAUACAGAGGGUGCGAGCGUUAAUCGGAUUUACUGGGCGUAAAGCGUGCGUAGGCGGCUUUUUAAGUCGGAUGUGAAAUCCCUGAGCUUAACUUAGGAAUUGCAUUCGAUACUGGGAAGCUAGAGUAUGGGAGAGGAUGGUAGAAUUCCAGGUGUAGCGGUGAAAUGCGUAGAGAUCUGGAGGAAUACCGAUGGCGAAGGCAGCCAUCUGGCCUAAUACUGACGCUGAGGUACGAAAGCAUGGGGAGCAAACAGGAUUAGAUACCCGUGUAGUUCCUGUCUCUUAUAC